rnacentral:lncRNA from 1 species
AUGCAUAUAUAAGCUAUCCCAUAAUUUUUGGAUAAUUAUGUGGGGUUGAAAAGGUAUUUUAUUUAAAUAGAUAUUUGGGGUUGAAAAAUGUAUUUUUAUAUAGUUUAUUUUGAAGAGAAACUACUUCCAAAAGAUGUAUCAUGGUAGAACCUGAUUUUACAAAUUUUCUGGAUUUUAUUUGGACCAAUUUGAAGUUCAAACUCAAAAGAUAUCAAAGAAAUGAGAUAAGCAGAAAAAGAAAAGGCUAAAAAAAAAGGGGAGAAACGGACCAGCCCAGCCACUUUGGGCCAAACCGG